AGUGAACGCUGGCGGUAGGCCUAACACAUGCAAGCCGAACGGCAGCACAGUAAGGGCUUGCUCGUACGGGCGGCGAGUGGCGGACGGGUGAGGAAUACAUCGGAAUCUACUUUUUCGUGGGGGGUAACGUAGGGAAACUUACGCUAAUACCGCAUACGACCUACGGGUGUAAGCAGGGGAUCUUCGGACACUGCGCGAUUGAAUGAGCCGAUGUCGGAUUAGAUAGUUGGCGGGGUAAAGACCCACCAAGGCGCCCAUUCGUAGCCAGUAUGAGAGGCUGAUCAGCAAGUCUGGAACUGAGCCACGGUCCAGAUUCCAACACGAGGCAGCAGUGGCGAAUAUUGUACAAUGGGCGCAAGCCUGCUCCAGGCCUACCGCGUGGGCGAAGAAGGCCCUCGGGUUUUGAAGUCCGUUUCUAGGGACAGACAACCAGCAGGUUAACACCCCGCUGUUCUGACGGUACCCAAAGAAUAAGCACCGGCUAAAUUCGUG
rnacentral:rRNA from 1 species